CUUUGAUCUGCAAUUAUUCCUUGUAUCAACUGAAGGCAGACAGAUUCAUGUGCAAAGGGCCCAUCUGAAUUUUUUUAUGCCAUUGUUAUUUUAGUGAAAAGUAGACCUAAUUUGCUGAUCUGUGAUAUGAUCUCAGAAUGGAUUAGCAUGUCUUGUGUGCAAAUGUUAAAAAGGCUGGUGUUUUUCAGACUUGAAAUGCAGAGACCUGGAUCAUUAUCGUGAAAAAUGUGAGACAAAGGUUAACCGGCGAUUGGAGGAGAGGGAGAUUGUUUGUCAAAGCAGGACCAGCUGGGAUUCUCUGGCUGACUCCCAGGCGCAACUGUGAAGCAGCGGAUAUUGGGUGCUCUCCCACCUCGUCAGGAGCAGCGUUCUCCUGUCUGUUCCUGGCAUCUCACAGCAUCCUGUGCCCUGCUAAGGUGUUA
rnacentral:lncRNA from 1 species